rnacentral:rRNA from 1 species
AUGGCCAUGCCGCCGGCGGAGAAGGUGAUCAUGGUGGACGCCAACCCCUCCAAGAACGGGCACGGGGACAAGCUUGAUGACCUGCCUGUCGCCGAUGAAACCUCACACCAGAUUGGCGUUGAUCCAUGGUACCAGGUGGCGUUCGUGCUGACCACCGGGGUGAACAGCGCCUACGUGCUGGGCUACUCCGGCUCGCUGAUGGUCCCGCUGGGCUGGGUGGGCGGCACCGUGGGCCUCCUCCUGGCCGCCGCCGUGUCCAUGUACGCCAACACGCUGCUGGGCCGCCUCCACCUGCUCGGCGGCAAGCGUCACAUCAGGUACAGGGACCUCGCCGGCCACAUCUACGGGCCCAACAUGUACAAGAUCACCUGGGCGAUGCAGUACGUCAACCUCUUCAUGAUCAACACAGGCUUCAUCAUAAUAGCAGGGCAAGCACUCAAGGCACUGUAUUUGCUGGUGAGUGCCGACGGGGCUAUGAAGCUGCCCUACUGCAUCGCGGUGUCCGGGUUCGUGUGCGCGCUCUUCGCCUUCGGGAUCCCGUACCUGUCGGCCCUGAGGAUCUGGCUGGGCUUCUCCACGAUCUUCAGCCUCACCUACAUCUUUGCGGCCUGCGUGCUGUCGCUCAAGGACGGCUUCCGCACGCCGCCUCGGGACUACAGCAUCCAAGGAGACCCGUCGAGCAGGGUGUUCACCACCAUCGGCGCGGCGGCGAGCCUGGUGUUCGCCUACAACACCGGCAUGCUGCCGGAGAUCCAGGCCACCGUGCAGGCACCCGUGGUGAAGAACAUUGAGAAGGCGCUGUGGUUCCAGUUCACCGCCGGCUCCGUGCCCCUUUACGCCAUCAUAGUCAUCGGCUACUGGGCCUACGGCAACCAGACCACCACCUACCUGCUCAACAACGUCACUGGGCCCGUGUGGAUCAAGGCAGUUGCCAACCUCGCUGCCUUCCUCCAGACAGUCAUAGCACUACACAUCUUCGCGUCGCCCAUGUACGAGUACCUGGACACCCGGUUCGGGAGCAAGGUGGGAGGCCCGUUCGCGAUGCACAACGUGAUCUUCAGGGUCGGGGUGAGGGGAGGGUACCUGGCCGUCAACACGCUCAUGGCGGCGGCGCUGCCCUUCCUGGGGGACUUCAUGAGCCUCACGGGGGCGCUCAGCACGUUCCCGCUCACCUUCGUGCUCGCCAACCACAUGUACCUCGUCGCCAACAGGCAGCGCCUCUCCUCGCUGCAGAAGUCGUGGCACUGGCUCAACAUCGUCUUCUUCACCGUCCUCUCCAUCACCGCCGCCAUCGCCGCGCUCAGGCUCAUCGCCCGCGACUCCAAAACAUACCAUAUCUUCGCCGAUGUCUGA